GUUUAGCAUUCAUUUUGUAGUCAUUUCUCUCCUUCCCAUCUCUUCCGAAUCUCGUGCGCUCGUGCAGAAUCCAUUGCCAUGUCAUUCUACAAAAACUUCUGCAACUCUUUCUUUAUAUUGCUAUUCUUUCUCAUUCCUACUAUGAACUCCAUCUCGUUUAACAUGCCUCGCUUUGAGUAUCAGGCCAGUGACAUCAUACUAGAAGGUGAUGCUGUGGCUUCCAUGGGUACCGUGGAAAUGAUCAACAAAAAAAUUUACGGUUCUCGUGUUGGUCGAGCUAGUUAUGCCAAACCGGUACCCCUGUGGGACUCGGCAACUAGAGAACUCACACACUUCACCACUCAUUUCAUGUUUUCAAUUCAAAAACCAACACCGUUUUAUGGUGAUGGACUUGCCUUCUUUAUUGCUCCUGUUGGUUGCCCAAUCCCUCCAAAUUCAGCAGGUGGAUUUCUAGGACUUUUUAAUACAACCACCACUGAUAAAACAUCUCUCAAUCAGAUCAUCCAUGUUGAAUUUGAUUCCUUCCUGAAUGAAGAAUGGGAUCCAGAUUCUACACAUGUGGGGAUGAAUAAUAAUUCGAUCGAGUCCUCUGUUUCAUCCUUUUGGAAUGCUUCUUUAUAUAGUGGGGAAACUGGGAGCUUGUUCAGUUUCCUGCAGUUGAUCUUGUAAAGCAUCAGCUGCUCCUGGUUGAUGCCACUGGAACUCGAUCCUUCUUCCGUCUGCAGGCAUUCUACGUAUUAUUUUUGUUUGUGGUGCCAACAGACAUUUGUUGGAUGGGCUAUUUUCAGAAAACCUGUGCCUCUUUGGCAUGACGGAUAUCUCUCUGAUUUCGCUACUCAUUUCACCUUUUCAAUCCAUAGCGACUGUGAUAACCUUAGUGAAGGUUGAUUUGAAGGAAGUUCUUCCGCAAAACAUUAAGGUUGGAUUCUCUGCUUCUUCUGGUUUUGUUAUUGGGAGACAUACUCUUUUAUCGUGGGGGUUCAAUUCAAGUUUAGUAGUCAAGAGCAAUAUCAAAUUGGUGGUGGCAUUGUCUGUUUCUGCUGUUUUCAUUUGUGGUGUUGCUGUAGCUGUAGUGUUGUUGAUUUUAACAAAAAAGACGAAGGGAAAGAUGACAGUGAAUUUGAAACAGGAGCUGUUCCAGAAAGCUUCUCUUACAAAAAUCUAGUUUAACAACUGCUGCCAGGAAAGGAAAUUAGGAGAAGGUGGGUUUGGAGGUGUUUACUUAGGCACGUUGAAUGAUACACAUCAGCUAGUCACUUUAAAGAAAUUCUCGAGGGGAUCUAGUCAAGUUAACAAAGAAUGGAUAGCUGAAGUCAGGAUCACAAGGAAGCUAUGACACCGUAAUUUGCUGCAACCGACCUGUUGGUGCCAUGAGAAAUAAGGAGCUUAUUCUUGCUUAUGAGUUGAUGCUGAAUGGGAGCUUAGAUUCUUUUCUAUUUGGCAAAAAAGUUCUCUAGUAUAAGAUACAAAAUCUCUCUUAAGUUGGUCUCUGCAAUGUUGUGCCUAAAUGAAGAGUGGAACAACUGUGUCCUACAUCGGGAUAUUAAGUGCACCAAGGUCAUGCUGGAUUCAAGCUUCAACUUAGCGACUUUGGCUUAACUCGGUUCAUGGACCAUGGUCGGUGCUCUGAAUCCACUGGUUUGGCUGGAACUUUUAGGUAUUUGACACCUGGAAAAAUCUUCUGUUUCAUCUGGUGAAAUAUCCCAAAUGGGAUUAGUGGAGAGGGUUUGGGAUCUCUAUGGACAAGAAGAAAAUUAGGCAACGAUGUCGACCACAAAAAAAAAACAGGGUCUGUGUUGUAGAAUUAGUAGAUACACGAACAGCCACCCAAUAAAUCUACCAUUUAUGAGCUCCAACACAGAUCCUGUAGACAUUUUGGAUCUAGUGUUCCCGUUUAAAAACUGAACCCAAAUAUCUCAUUUCUACAAUGUGGGCUAUACCUGUAAGCAAAAAGGAAACCAAUCCAAAAACUAAAAGCUUUCCUUCCAUCGGAUCACCAGUUUGAAUCUGUCAUAAUUCUAAGUUGUGUUACAGUAGGUCUGGGGAUUUAGUGCAGGAUCAGUCGACAAGACACUUUAGAGAGUGUUUGGGAGCCCAUUUGGUAUUUACACUCUCAAGCACAACGAACAGGAUUUGUGCGAUCAGGUGCAACACUGACGACAUGAAUAGUGUUGGUUCCUGCUAUGGGCCUAAGACUAGAUCAAUGGUGUUUUAACUUCUAAGGAAUAACUAGUAUACGUUUCAGUUGCCAUAUGUCAAGAUACUCUGCUUACAAUCACUUCUAGUAGCUCUACUAGAACAAAUUGUGUGGAAACCAGCUAGUUAAGCAGGUAGCGUGUUCACUAUGAAGUGACACAGUUGACGUUGAAAUAUUAGCACUCCAUAAAGGUGAAAACUACCCACUGCGGAUUGUAACGUGCGAGUAUCACAGCUUCACCUGCCUGCAGUUGAUCGUAUAAAAGCAUCUGGUGUUUAUGGUUGAUGCCUCUGGUAAUUGAACGUUCUCUUGGCUAAAGGCAUUUGACAUAAUGUCUGUUUUUGCUUGGAGAAAAGCAAUUCAGUUGAAGCGGUUCGGGAUCUCUAUGGAAAGGGAAGGGAAUAACUUUUGGUUGUGGUUAACAAAAACUAGGUAAUGGUUUCGAUGACAACGAAGCGGGGAGUAUUUGACAUUUGCUUGGUUUGCAGGUUCAGACCUUUCAAUUAGACAAGCAAUUGAGGUUCGGAAAAAGGAGUUAAAUGUUCCAAAUCCUCCACCUGAAAUGGCUGUUACAUUGUACCAUACUAAAAUGUACCUGAACUUGUACCUGGUGAAUGACUCUCUAUAAUUUGCUCAAGUCUCACAGGUAACUCUUCCUCUUACUGUGAAGACAAUUACCAUAUUUCUUGUUUAUGUUGAUGAUAUUCUUCUCACAGGUAACUCUUCCUCUUACUGUGCUGAGCUUAUAUUAACUUUGGGUACUCACUUCCCGGUCAAAAAUUUAGGAGCUCUACACUAUUUUUUUUGUCUUUAAGUGAAAAGAAGUGAUUCUGGUUUAUUUUUGUGUCUAACCAAACAUGCAUUGGACUACUAGAUAAGACUCACAUGGUUUGUGCUAAGUGUUGUUUUUCUCCAGCUUUCACUUCUUCCAAGUUGAGUGCUCAUGAUGGUGAAAUUCUUGAAAAUCCUACUGAAUACAGAUAUCGGUAGGAGUUUUACAAUAUCUGACAUGGACAAGACCUGAAAUCAGCUUUGCUGUAAAUCAAGUAUGCCAAUUCAUGCAUCAGCCUACUACUACUCAUCUUCGUGCAGCCAAAAGAAUUCUAAGAUAUGUCAAAGGCACUAUUGAUUUUGGUCUGUUCUUUCAAAGGGUCUUUAAACUUUACAAGGUUUUGGUGAUGCAGACUGGGCUGGAUCUCCAGAUGACAGAAGAUCAACUAGUGGUUUUUGUAUUUUCUUUGGUCACAAUCCUAUUUCAUGGAGUGCCAAGACACAAUCCACAGUUGCAAGGUUAAGUACAGAGGCAGAGUACAUAGCACUUGCACAUACUGCUGCUGAAAUUGUAUGGUUGUGCCAGUUGCUUCAGGAUUUGCAAGUCUUUUUACCAGUUCUACCUACUUUGCACUGUGACAACAUCAGCAGCCUUUGCACGUACACGUGCUCUAUAUAGCUUGGUUCGUAUCUGUAUGGCUGUGAGUCGACGUAAGAAGGGUAUACAAUGUCUCUGUCAGGUAGCUUGUUCACUAUGGAGUGAGACAGAUGACCUUAAAAUAUUAGCACUCCAUAUAGGUGAAAACUACCCUCGGUGGAUUGUAACGUGCGGGUAUCACAGCUUCCCCUGCCUGCAGUUGACCUUAGAAAAGCAUCCGGUGUUCACCUCUGGAAAUUGAACGUUCUCUUGGCUAAAUGCAUUUGACAUAAUGUGUCUGUUUUGCUUGGAGAAAAAUCUCAAGUGGGAUUAUUUGAAUCGGUUCGGGAUCACAACUUUCUGACUCUGUUGCAGGUUCAAUAUUUUUAGGGCCUUGAAAUCGCGAGAGCAUGUGAGAUUAUGCAAGUUGGCUAACUUGAUAUCAGACCUCUGAACUGUUGCAGGAGACACUCUUGUGUAACUAAGUCUAUGGAAGCUAGUCCAGCAGGUAAUGGUUUUAAUCCUCCAAGAUCGGGACAAAAGAGAUGCAGAAAAGCCAAUGGCAAAUGGGUCUGAGAUUAGACCGAGUAUGGGAGCAACAGUUUGGUUAGUCUCAACACGGUGAGUGCCCCAGGGACUAUGGUGCUAGCUUCUCAGACCCAAGCUGCCAACUCUUGCCAUUGGCCUGGCAUUGUGAACUUGGGCACACAAUCCUUAUAAGCUUAUUCACCAUAUUUAAGUUUCACGAUGUGGGAUUAUUAAAUAUGGUAACUUAUUAAUUAAUUAAAAUUACUUGUUUGUAAUUACGGUAUUUGGUCCUGAUUUUGGUGCGGGCCAUGUAUACACGGCCCUCUACAGGCCGGUUAACAUAAAUAGAACCUUUUAAGGAAAAAACUCUAUCUAGGCCCUUAGUUCAUCUUUCUUUUCUUCUUUUUUGCUCGUGAAAUUGAAGGAUAUUAUUUCCCAUCAAAAUUUUAUUAUGCAU